AUUGAACGCUGGCGGCAGGCCUAACACAUGCAAGUCGAGCGGAUGACGGGAGCUUGCUCCUUGAUUCAGCGGCGGACGGGUGAGUAAUGCCUAGGAAUCUGCCUGGUAGUGGGGGACAACGUUUCGAAAGGAACGCUAAUACCGCAUACGUCCUACGGGAGAAAGCAGGGGACCUUCGGGCCUUGCGCUAUCAGAUGAGCCUAGGUCGGAUUAGCUAGUUGGUGGGGUAAUGGCUCACCAAGGCGACGAUCCGUAACUGGUCUGAGAGGAUGAUCAGUCACACUGGAACUGAGACACGGUCCAGACUCCUACGGGAGGCAGCAGUGGGGAAUAUUGGACAAUGGGCGAAAGCCUGAUCCAGCCAUGCCGCGUGUGUGAAGAAGGUCUUCGGAUUGUAAAGCACUUUAAGUUGGGAGGAAGGGCAGUAAGCUAAUACCUUGCUGUUUUGACGUUACCGACAGAAUAAGCACCGGCUAACUCUGUGCCAGCAGCCGCGGUAAGAC
rnacentral:rRNA from 1 species